UACGUAGGGACCAAGCGUUGUUCGGAUUUACUGGGCGUAAAGGGCGCGUAGGCGGCAAUUCAAGUCAGCUGUGAAAUCUCCGAGCUUAACUCGGAACGGUCAGCUGAUACUGCUUUGCUAGAGUGCAGAAGGGGCAAUCGGAAUUCUUGGUGUAGCGGUGAAAUGCGUAGAUAUCAAGAGGAACACCUGAGGUGAAGACGGGUUGCUGGGCUGACACUGACGCUGAGUGCGCGAAAGCUAGGGUAGCAAACGGG
rnacentral:rRNA from 1 species